CGAGAAGAGGGCAUGUGGUGUUCAUCGGUGCAUACCGGUGGGGGAAGUUUGUGGCUCGAAGAUGGUCGCGACCGCGCUCCAUUUCGGAGCCAUUCCGACUCUAAUUACCGUAAAUAACCUAGCUAGGGUUUCCAAAGAGGGGCGAAGAGGACCCUCCACCACUCCUCCGUCUUCGGCCGGUCCCCUAUUUCGAUCGGGUUGGAGGAUUUCGCGAGCCCCGGCGACGGCCCCGAUCAUACGGGCUGCUGCCGAGGUGCAGACCACCGAGGAUGCUCUUGUGAAAGUCUCGACGGCGGCCGAUGUGGUGAGGGAGUUCUACGACGGGAUUAAUCGCCGGGAUCUUUCAGCCGUGGAGUCGCUGAUCUCAGAGGAUUGUGUCUACGAGGAUCUGGUCUUUCCCCGACCUUUUGUUGGACGCAAGGCUAUUCUCGACUUCUUCAAAAAGUUCACAGAAUCGGUCAGUGCUGACCUUCAGUUUGUUAUCGAUGACAUAUCUAACGAAGAUUCAUCGGCUGUUGGAGUUACAUGGCACUUGGAAUGGCGGGGCAGGCCUUUCCCAUUUAGCAAAGGGUGCAGCUUCUACAGUUUGCAGUUUCGGGAGGGCAAGAGACAGAUAGUGUACGUCCCUUUCUGUAAGAAUCAGUUAUGCUUGAAAGUAGGAUAUGAGAAGCUAGAAGUAAGCUUCAACAGGAAGGUGCACUCAAAUUAGCUAUGGGAGAGAUUGUGUGGAGCCUGCUGCCAAGCCUGGGGAUUCAGCAUUGGUUUUCAUGGUCCAGAUGAAACAAAAGAAAGGAGGUCUGUUGCCAGUUGUGCUGGCCAGCCACCAAAAUAUGUUCUAACACUUUACUCCAUAGUAACACUACUAUGGUGGAGCAUGAGGCAGGGAUAAAGGUGGAUGGUGAACCUUAAGAUUCUUGCCAGUGCUCCAUUUUGCAUAUUGCCUGAAAUUUAAGCUGUGGACUGAACCAGUUAAUCCAUGAAUAAGUCAUGUGAAAUCCUUGGAUUUUCUAUGACAUGGUUCUCUUUUCAUCGUACCUUUAACAAAUU